rnacentral:rRNA from 1 species
CUUUUAAAGAAAUUAAUUUUAAGUAAAAUCUGCCCAAUGAAUUUUAAAUGGCUGCAAAAUUAAUAAUUGUACAAAGGUAGCAUAAUAAUUUGUUUUUUAAUUAAAAACUAGAAUAAAUGAUUAAAUGAAAUAUAAACUUUAUUAAAAAUAUAAUAAUUUAAAUUAUUAUUUAAGUAAAAAAACUUAAAUAAUUUAAAAAGACGACAAGACCCUAUAGAAUUUUAUUUAAUAUAUAUAUAUAUAUAUAUUAUAAUUAUAAUAAUAUAUAUAUAUAUUAAAUUUAAUUGGGGUAAUUUAAAAAUUUUAUUAAUUUUUUUUUUAAUUAACAAAUAUUAUUGAAUAAAAAUUCUUAAUAUUUAAAAUAUCAAAAUUAAUUACCUUAGGGAUAACAGCAUAAUUUUUUUUAAAAGCAUCAUAUUUAUAUUAAAGAUUAU